AGAGUUUGAUCCUGGCUCAGAUUGAACGCUGGCGGCAGGCUUAACACAUGCAAGUCGAGCGGUAACAGGGGGAGCUUGCUCCCUGCUGACGAGCGGCGGACGGGUGAGUAAUGCAUAGGAAUCUGCCCAGUAGUGGGGGAUAGCCCGGGGAAACCCGGAUUAAUACCGCAUACGCCCUACGGGGGAAAGCAGGGGAUCUUCGGACCUUGCGCUAUUGGAUGAGCCUAUGUCGGAUUAGCUAGUUGGUGGGGUAAAGGCCUACCAAGGCGACGAUCCGUAGCUGGUCUGAGAGGAUGAUCAGCCACAUCGGGACUGAGACACGGCCCGAACUCCUACGGGAGGCAGCAGUGGGGAAUAUUGGACAAUGGGCGCAAGCCUGAUCCAGCCAUGCCGCGUGUGUGAAGAAGGCCUUCGGGUUGUAAAGCACUUUCAGUAGGGAGGAAAACCUGAUGGUUAAUACCCAUUGGGCUGACGUACCUACAGAAAAAGCACCGCCC
rnacentral:rRNA from 1 species